AGAGAAAAGGAGGGGAAUUUAAUCGAAUUGGAAUAUAUUUCUACGAUUUCACUAUUGAUUCCUUCAUAACUUAUCUAUCCAGCAUUGCUUUCAGGAUCUCUUUGUUCUUUUUAUAAAUCCUUUUUCCUCUCUUCAAUUUCACCGAAACUGACUUUGAUCACAUCCUUUCUCUCUUUUUCUUUAUUUUUUUUCUGAAUUUUUCCCAUUCUAAAUCACCUCCUAAGUUGUAUUUGAUUCCUUGAUUUCGGUUUGAUUGUGGAUUCGAAGUUAAACAGAGUAAGGAGGAGAAGAAGAAGAAGAAGA
rnacentral:misc_RNA from 1 species